GCUACUACCGAUUGAAUGGUUUAGUGAGGACUCCUGAUUGGCGCCGCCGCCCCGGCAACGGGGCAGCGGACUGCCGAAAAGUUGUUCAAACUUGAUCAUUUAGAGGAAGUAAAAGUCGUAACAAGGUUUCCGUAGGUGAACCUGCAGAAGGACA
rnacentral:misc_RNA from 1 species